UCCGCAUUCUUUUGUAGGAAAUCAACGAACUGCGUCCGUACCUCUUCCCCCAGGUUGGAGCCGAUCUUCACCACAUGCUCUGUACUCCCAUCAUUCAAGGGGAUCGAAACCAGAUCUUCCAUUGGCCCGCCCCUUUCUUCAGCGAGGUCAUCGCGGGCGUCCAAUCCAUCAACCGGACAGAGGUCAGAUUGGUCACUUCUUUGCAAGGCUAUGUUGUAGCAGUGUCUAGCCAGGGCUUGAUCUCCCUUGACUUCUCCGACCCCC
rnacentral:lncRNA from 1 species